GCAGAUUUACUUCGGUAAUGACGCUGGGGACGCGAGCGGCGGAUGGGUGAGUAACACGUGGGGAACCUGCCCCAUAGUCUAGGAUACCACUUGGAAACAGGUGCUAAUACCGGAUAAUAAAGCAGAUCGCAUGAUCAGCUUAUAAAAGGCGGCGUAAGCUGUCGCUAUGGGAUGGCCCCGCGGUGCAUUAGCUAGUUGGUAAGGUAACGGCUUACCAAGGCAAUGAUGCUAGCCGAGUUGAGAGACUGAACGGCCACAUUGGGACUGAGACACGGCCCAAACUCCUACGGGAGGCAGCAGUAGGGAAUCUUCCACAAUGGACGCAAGUCUGAUGGAGCAACGCCGCGUGAGUGAAGAAGGUUUUCGGAUCGUAAAGCUCUGUUGUUGGUGAAGAAGGAUAGAGGUAGUAACUGGCCUUUAUUUGACGGUAAUCAACCAGAAAGUCACGGCUAACUACGUGCCAGCAGCCGCGGUAAUACGUAGGUGGCAAGCGUUGUCCGGAUUUAUUGGGCGUAAAGCGAGCGCAGGCGGAAGAAUAAGUCUGAUGUGAAAGCCCUCGGCCCGAGGAAUUGCAUCGGAAACUGUAUUCUUGAGUGCAGAAGAGGAGAGUGGAACUCCAUGUGUAGCGGUGGAAUGCGUAGAUAUAUGGAAGAACACCAGUGGCGAAGGCGGCUCUCUGGUCUGCAACUGACGCUGAGGCUCGAAAGCAUGGGUAGCGUACAGGAUUAGAUACCCUGGUAGUCCAUGCCGUAAACGAUGAGUGCUAAGUGUUGGGAGGUUUCCGCCUCUCAGUGCUGCAGCUAACGCAUUAAGCACUCCGCCUGGGGAGUACGACCGCAAGGUGAAACUCAAAGGAAUUGACGGGGGCCCGCACAAGCGGUGGAGCAUGUGGUUUAAUUCGAAGCAACGCGAAGAACCAUACCAGGUCUUGACAUCUAGUGCCAUCCUAAGAGAUUAGGAGUUCCCUUCGGGGACGCUAAGACAGGUGGUGCAUGGCUGUCGUCAGCUCGUGUGGGUUAAGUCCCGCAACGAGCGCAACCCUUAUUAUUAGUUGCCAGCAUUAAGUUGGGCACUCUAAUGAGACUGCCGGUGACAAACCGGAGGAAGGUGGGGAUGACGUCAAGUCAUCAUGCCCCUUAUGACCUGGGCUACACACGUGCUACAAUGGGCAGUACAACGAGAAGCGAGCCUGCGAAGGCAAGCGAAUCUCUGAAAGCUGUUCUCAGUUCGGACUGCAGUCUGACUCGACUGCACGAAGCUGGAAUCGCUAGUAAUCGCGGAUCAGAACGCCGCGGUGAAUACGUUCCCGGGCCUUGUACACACCGCCCGUCACACCAUGGAAGUCUGCAAUGCCCA
rnacentral:rRNA from 1 species